CCGUAGUUCAAUGGAUAGAGCGUCAGCCUCCGGAGCUGAAGAUAUGGGUUCAACUCCCGUCGG
rnacentral:tRNA from 1 species